CUCUUACAAAGUCAUAAAACCUGGUAAAAGCCCAUAAAAUGUCUCCGUUUCCCAUCUUCUCUGCUGUUUGGUAGGGCUCGAUUUUAUCUGAGGAUCCGGCACAAAAUUCUCGGAUCUCAGUGAAAUAGCUUUGUGCCCGAAUUGCCCUCAACGACUUAAGCUUCCCCUCCUCCUCCUCCUCCAGUCGAGACGCCACCACCGCCGAAAACGCAAUCGCAAUCGCGCUCCGUACACACUCCACAGCUGAUUGCCGCUGUGAAUGAAGAUGUGGAGGGUAUUUUGAGAAGAGUUAGGCAGAGAUUUGAUGUUUCAUCUCAUGUAGCAUCAGAUUGGAUACUGUGUAUUGACGUUUGAUGCAUUGUUCAUAAUGCAAUUUCUUAUUUGUUUGAGAUAUGUACACGGAGGGCAGCGGAGGAUGCUAUUGAGGCGGAGGUGGUGAGUGCUAACAAGUAGAAGAAAUAUUGUUUUCAGUUUCAGCUCGAUUAAUUCUUGACCAGAUUCUUGAGAAAAAUAGAGGAGGUGGCUUAAAGAUGAACAGAUAAUUUUGAUCCAAGAUUUGGAAAGGAAGAGACGAAGUUCAUGGGACUGGGAAGGAACAACAUUGUAGAUAAUAAAUUUGCCAAAACCCCACUAUUUUGUAGACUCCAAAGCUACAUGCAUCACUAUUUUGUUAUUAGAAUUUGCACCACUAAGUUUUAAAAUUUGCAUUGAUGCUCAAUAUUAUUAAACGUUGGUGUUAAAGUAAUAUAUGAGUAAUGGUGUAUCUAUUGUUGUU